AGGCAUUCUGUCAGGAGGAAAGGAAAUACUUAAAUAAGCCUUGUGAAAGUGGAACAUUUUUACCUCGGACUUAUAGGUUUUCUAACAAUAACUUGACAUUUGAAUUAUACUUUGGCGAAGUUUGGGCACAAGACGUUAAAGGACUGGUAGUCUUAUAUGAAAGCAGUGAGAUUUUCAAGAAAGAUGAGAAAAUAUGUAUUGCUGAAUGUGGAGCAUUGGCCAGAAAUUUUGAUGGAGACAAUACAA